GCGGGCGUGGUGGAACCGGUAGACACGCGGGAUUUAGGUUCCCGUGGCGCGAGCCGUGCGAGUUCGAGUCUCGCCGCCCGCACCA
rnacentral:tRNA from 1 species